GCAACGAGCGCAACCCUUGAUCUUAGUUGCCAUCAUUAAGUUGGGCACUCUAAGGUGACUGCCGGUGACAAACCGGAGGAAGGUGGGGAUGACGUCAAAUCAUCAUGCCCCUUAUGACCUGGGCUACACACGUGCUACAAUGGACGGUACAAAGAGCUGCAAGACCGCGAGGUGGAGCUAAUCUCAUAAAACCGUUCUCAGUUCGGAUUGUAGGCUGCAACUCGCCUACAUGAAGCUGGAAUCGCUAGUAAUCGCGGAUCACAUGCCGCGGUGAAUACGUUCCCGGGGCCUUGUACACACCGCCCGUCACACCACGAGAGUUUGUAACACCCGAAGUCGGUGGGGUAACCUUUU
rnacentral:rRNA from 1 species